rnacentral:rRNA from 1 species
AUGUCUCUUGGUCAGGUCUGUCCGAUCCCGGCAAGACUACCUUUGCUGCUGAUCUGGGGCUGCCGCAACCCCUUUUUGCAGCACAGACCGAGACGCUGCGCGCCGAACUGCAAGCCCUGGUUACCGCCCGUGUGGAGGAGGUCGUUCAACCUCUCCGCGACAUGGCGGUCGCUUUGCAGGGAUGGGCGGCUCGGGUCUCAGGCCUCUUGGAGCGGCUGGAGGAUAUCAGUGAUGCGGGUGUGGCCGGUUGCUCAUCCGAGGUACUGGCUACUGUGGCUCUACCUGUAG